rnacentral:rRNA from 1 species
UACGGAGGGUGCGAGCGUUGUCCGGAAUCACUGGGCGUAAAGGGCGCGUAGGCGGCCUGAUAAGUAGGGGGUGAAAUCCUGCGGCUUAACCGCAGGGCUGCCUUCUAAACUGUCAGGCUCGAGCACAGUAGAGGCAGGUGGAAUUCCUGGUGUAGCGGUGAAAUGCGCAGAUAUCAGGAGGAACACCGGUGGCGAAGGUGGGUCUCUGGGCCGAUACUGACGCUGAGGAGCGAAAGCGUGGGGAGCAAACAGG